UACGUAGGGUGCGAGCGUUAAUCGGAAUUACUGGGCGUAAAGCGUGCGCAGGCGGUUUUGUAAGCCAGGUGUGAAAUCCCCGGGCUUAACCUGGGAACUGCAUUUGUGACUGCAUCGCUGGAGUGCGGCAGAGGGGGAUGGAAUUCCGCGUGUAGCAGUGAAAUGCGUAGAUAUGCGGAGGAACACCGAUGGCGAAGGCAAUCCCCUGGGCCUGCACUGACGCUCAUGCACGAAAGCGUGGGGAGCAAACAGG
rnacentral:rRNA from 1 species